UCAACAACCGCAUUGACCGGGUAUUAAAGGAAUUGUGGGUAAGAGUCAUUGCAGAGCACAUGUUGGUAACAUCAGGGUAACUGUCCAUUUCUUUACCAUUGAUACAGUAAUCCUUGCGGAGACGUUGGAAGUACUGGUGAUGGGUCUAGGUACUGCACGAGAAGGCGAAGCUCAUGUGACCAGCUCUCUUGGGCAAAGAUUAAAGUACAAGUAGAUGAAGGCAUAGUAGAUGAAGCAAUACAAUAUGGUAACCGUAAUACGUGCGGCGAGGACAAUGAUAUCUUUCCUUACAUAUAUUAGAAGGAAAAGGCAAAGUUGGGUGCAUACGCUAUACCUGCGCCGUUGGCCCUUUGAACAUGUAGUGAGUAGGAGCUCAUUACCUCGGGACACCAGCCAAUAUGAAAUCCGGUAUUGUCACAGUUUACCCUUCCCAGGUUUUCCUAGGUUCUCAUUUUAUCGACCAACCCGAAAAGGGAGAUGAACAGCUGGGUGAGCUGCACAUCGUCUGCCCAGACCGGGAUUUGAACCCGGGGCCAAAAAGUCGUAGCCAGGCACGCUAACCACAGCUCCACCUUACUAUACCUUGGUGGCGUAGUGUUAUACAACUGCGGAUCUCGACAAGAAAUCUUACGCCGGGCUGGCUUGACCCACUUUUUUUUUUUUUUUUUUUUUGGUAUUUCGUUGGGGAUAUACCCCAAGGGAGGAAGGCGGUGCAUGCCGCGCAACCACCCAGAGAUGCCCAAUUCGUUCAAGGAGGCGGCCCAACAACGGGGCUGAGGGUGUCGGAAAGAGCCCACCUUUCCACUCCCAUGGCACCGGGCAGGUCUCGAACCUAUACGCUCUAGCAACCCGCCGGAACGCAAGGCGCAGACUCUACCACGGGACCACGGGAGCCCCCAAACCCACGGUUUUAUGGACUUACUUAGCAUGAGUACGAGUCAAUGGCUUUGUCGAUACCUGUGCAGAAGAAGAAAGAUCCGGAUCUUUCAAGUCGCUGGUGCUCCCUAUCUUACUCUAUGACUGAGACAAUGAAUAGUGAUCUUAAGAGGUGGACUGUUGACUUUGGUAAUAAGUGCUGGGAGAUUUGACUCUCUCCCCGGGGCAUGACGCCUAUGGGUUCCUACAGGAGGCUGGCGUCCUCAACCUCCUGUAGGUUUUACUGACCUUUUAUUGAAUUCUCUUAUCAUGUUUUUAAUUAUUUAUCGUUUUUUUAUAGUUUUAUAAUUGUUUAUUUUGUUUUAUAUUCGGCGCCAUGUGACCCUGCAGUUGCGGCGCUGAGAAAUGAACUCCCCGAUUAUCAAUCAAUCAAUCCGCUCCCAGUAUGUCGGAAAUUUUUGUAUAAAACUACAUCCCGUUAAAUAAUAUAUAAGGAGAAAUUAUGCCUUAUUACGGGUAAUUUGCACAUCGGGUAAUAAUAAUAUAAUUCUAAUUAUGAAGGUAAAUCAUAGGGAAACUUUUAUGCCGGUGAUUCGAAGCUGGUACAUUGGCUGACGUGGCAUAUAACUGACGUGUCGAAGCUUCGAAGCUUCUACCUAUACUUGAAGCACAAAGCCUACCACUAGGAUAUAAGACACCAACCCGUCGCCACCUGCUCACCGAGUUAAUACCGUCUCACCUUCCCACAACCUUUAUGGUUAUUAUUUUAUCCAUAUUUGGCCUACAAGUAACCACCGGGAACUUAAUCAGACGAACUCCUCCUCCGCUACGCUUCACCCGCUCCACAACCGCCAUCAGGGCUAAGUACAUUGUAUCGAUUUCCCGUGUGAAUUUCGGUCGAUUAACGUAUCCCCGAAGUUCCUACAUAUGUAGCGGAUCCGUUAUAUAGGGAAUUAAUCUUCAUAAUGCCCCGCGCCGGUUCUACAUCCAGACCAAGUGAGUAGUGCCGUUAUUUGGGGGUAGUUAGGGUGAGGGAGUGUUUGGCUAUCUUUGAAGCGUGUCAUCAGACCUUACUAUUAUUUCCGAUUGGGGCAAGAGGAACUUGGUGUCAUUACCCUAAAAUACCAAAAAGUUUCCCUAAUAAUUGUCCAAUUACCCAACUUUAAGGCGUACGUAAUUUACCCAAAAGUGGAAGCCCUGGAAUUAUUGUGCCUUGUGGCUCACUGGUGCUGUGUCUGCCCACAACGGACAAGAACAAACCUGUAGGAAUUUUUAGUGGAUUUAGAGAGAGAGAGAGAGAGAGAGAGAGAGAGAGAGAGAGAGAGAGAGAGAGUACUGGAUGCUUCUGGUGGUGAAUUUUGGCGGAAGAAUAAAAAUACAUAUACUUGUAAACAUUAUAAUGAAGCAAUUUAUACACGGCUUAAAGUAACAUGAGUGGCCAAUAGAUAUAACGCUAACUCAUGACACAAUCCACUCAUUACACACACACGCACACACAUACACACUGUUCUCUACCCUCUCCUCCUUUGCUUUCUCUAAUUUUUACUGACACACACACACACACACACACACACACACAAUUCACGGUCACAUGGUAGGUCUAUGCACUUCACGCUAUGUGGUGUAAAAAUGUGGUCUGUGUAAAAAUCUGACUCCAUCUUUGGGUCACAGAAUAAGUCGAGGACAUCACGGGUGAGAAGCACAAAUCUGGUUCAGCUGUCACCAUGAACACAAUAUACAUAGUGAGAGGGACACCAUAUCUCUGCUAGACUCGGUUCAUGAUAAUUUAUGUAGCUAGGAAACCUGACAGCAUCCCAUUAAGAUUUAGCCUUUCCAGCAUCCACCAAAUGAAUCAACCUUUCCCAGCAUCCAACCAGAGAUUUGACUCCCCAGCAUCCACCAAGAAGAUUUAGCCUUUCCCAGCAUCCACCAAAUAAGUAAGCCUUUCCCAGCAUCCACCAAAUAAGUAAGCCUUUCCCAGCAUCCACCAAAUAAGUAAGCCUUUCCCAGGAUCCACCAAGAUUUAGCCUUUCCCAGAUUCCAAGAAGACUUAGCUUUUCCCAGCAUCCACCAAAUAAGUAAGCCUUUCCCAGCAUUCAGAGUUCUUCCUAGCAACCACCAGUAAGAUUUAACUUUUCCAGCAUGCUAACUUUUGCAGAUUACAUCAAUAAAGUUUCACCUUUCCCAAGAUCUACUAAUGACAAACAGCCUGGGUGGAAAGGGGCAUGUCUUGCUUGCUGGGAAAAGACUGAACUAAUUUGCAUGAUGUGAGAGUAUAACAAGCUGCCUCACAUCAGCAUCACAACACUUCUCAGGUAAAAAUUGUGUGCCGUAUUACUUUCAUCUUCCUUCACCCUUGCAGCAUUUUUCCCCUCACCUUCCUGCCUCUUGAUUCCUUUAUCAAGUGCAAGACAAGACACAGUUUAUCAUGUAGGUGCCAUCCACUCCUCACCGUGUACAUAAACUGACCCCCCAAAACACUAAAGAAUAAAACGACAGUCGGAUAAAUAGGAAACGAACCCACAAGAACCGUAUACGUAUGCCAUAAACUAAAAGGAUAAGUUUGAUUACACUGACCAGGUUAUAUGAAUAGCAGGGCGGUACAUUCGCCAGCCAGUACACACUGUUCACCUACUAAAGUCUCUGCCCCACACCUUGUCCCUUAACCUCACUGAACCCAAUGAACACAGCCUUGGGAGGGUCAACAUCUACACAAACAUAUGAGGUGCCUGGACUGGUGCAUACAUGACUGACAAAAGAACCUUGGCCAUAUUCUCACACACUUUCGGCUCUCACAACUCCUAUUCCCCAAGGCCACAAAUGAGAUGAAUUGGGUUUUUGUGAGCUCUGACGUUCAUGAUGCAGAAGCCUUGUCAAACCAUCACUAGGCUCAUAAAACUACCCAUAAAAAAAAACACAACCUCUAUGAAAGCCUUACUAAAUGUGGGUGUGUAUGCCCGGAAAUGCUUGAGAAUGUGGGCCCUUAUCCCCUCAACCCACCCCUGCACACAAGAGCAGCCAGUCUGUAGAUCAACUCAGCUUACUAAACACGAAAGUCUACAGGGACAAAUGUACAUACAGCAGCCGAUACCAAAACAUACAAGUGCCUGAUUUUUCAAACGUCGUAUCAGUCUUCACUGUCAAUAAUGUGGCUGAUUUGUCUCCUGUGACCUGUUUUUCAAGGGGCGGUUAGGUGGUUUUGUUGCUUUUUGUGUCACUUCUUACAACAACUCUGGUAAUCCAGCACUUCUAACUCCGUCCCAGAAAUGGAAUAGAAAAAAUAACUAGCUACAGAACUCAACGAAUACUAACACCACGUUUAAAGCAUCAGGCAAAGUUCUCUGCAUCCUCGGUAAAGUACAGACGCAUUGUUUUGGCAGUGACAAUGGACACACGCUAAAGGAAAGUAACUACAAUGGUAACGAUGGAAUAUGAAAUGUGUAAAUAAUUCCUCCCCUACUUGCAAUAAACCAGUGAAUAAUAAUAACAAUGAUAAUAAUGUGAUAGAUAAUUUAUAGGCACCAUUCCAAUUAGUACUCGUAUGAAAAAACACUGAACCACUGUCAAAAUAUGUACCUUUUAGAAAUCUUUAUUCUGACAAAGCAAUAAAUUCCCUACAAAACUAUCAACAGUAAGCUGCUGUAACCUAUAGUUCAUUAUAUCUGCAGGUGUUGAUUGGUACUGCUGCUAUCUAUGCAUCUAUGUCUAUCUGUCCUAAGGCUGUUCACACUGAUGUCACGGGUGGCUAAAGGUCUCUCAAGUCUGGACUUAUUAUAACGACACAAGAGGGAAGAGAAGGUGGCUUAAGAACCUAGUGUAUUGCUGAGUCUCUUUACUUCUUCAUUCUUUCAGUGAGAAGGCACCUUGAAGAAAUUCCUGAGGGUUACGUUAUAUCAUUAUCAUUGUCGUUCAGUGUUUUUUGCAUGUAUGUUUGAAGUGAUGAUGAGUGAUGGUGCAGUGUGCCUGGUUCUUGCAGGGCCUGGGCUCAAGAUUAAGUACGUUCAUUAGUUCGUGAAGCAUUCAAAACAGUGCCCAUGUCAGGUGGCAAAAGGAUAAUCAAGUAUGUGGGACAUGCUCCUGACAAGGCACCCAACUUUGCGCAACAAACAAUUUUUUCAUCAGAAUACAAGGUGAUUCAAGGGCUUGGCUUGUGCUGUUAUAAGCUUAACAUGUAAAAUAAUAGACCAAAUGGUUAUUCUUACAUUAUAUUCUUCCAAAAGGAGUCAUUCAAACAUAAUUUACUCACUCAAUUUUAACUGGUGAAAAACAAGGUGUCUGUACCAUCAAAAUAAUUUAAUCAGUUUUUACUUUGACAGUUGUUCAUCUUUUCCUGGGCAGUUUUGGCCCAGCUGUGACGAGUACUGAUUGGAGUGGUGCGCAGGGACUGGCCAACACACCCCGCCCGGUCUUGUUCUAGGCUGCUUGAUUUUUGUGUUGGUUUGAGCAGUAAUUCCAACAAACAAAUUCCCUUCACCUUGAGCUUGUAGUGUGAUCAUACAAAUGCUGACUGAGCAACCGCUGAUGUGUUGUUGCCCGGACAGGUGGCCCCCGGGCUGUGGACGUCCUAGCCUGAGUCCUGCUCAACACAAGUGCAGGCUGCCGACAAGUCUACCAUUUAAACACUCGGGAGAAAGAGAUGGACUCAAUGAAUGAACUAAAGCACAACUAACGAAGACAUUGAAAAACAGUGUUGUUGCCGGUUCAUUAGAUAGUGCAAGCAUAUGUACGACGUGAUGCUCUCUGUGAAAACUGCAGUACUUAGAAGUAUCUUCAAUAUUUUGUAUGCAGAUAGUUAAAAAGUACACUGUACCUACAGACAAAUUUUAGUUAAUUUCCUGCCACUGAUAAGCCUUCCAAGGCAAACCAAGCCUGCACACUGCCCUAACAACACACAGCCGGCCUGGGAGCCAGGUGUAUCUUUAAGUUUACAGCUCAAAGCAGUUUGCAACAAGGAAUUUCUUUUCUCUCAAGUACCAAAUUAUACACUCAGAAAAUGAAACCAAUGAGUGAAUUUUUUCAACAUUAAUGCAACAUAAGUUUUUUAGUGUUAGUUCAGUAGUCAUUACCUUUUUCCCUUGUCUUGUACAAAAAAGUACUCUAGGUGCAUUCACCUCUGAGUGCUUACUGUUAACAUUAGUGUGGGGGGCACAAAAAAUGGUUGUCACAAAAAAUGGUUGUAAGUCCAACUAUUAUCUAAACAAUUUAAUAUUUUACUCGGCCAUUCGUAGAAUAUCUUUUCUCAACUUCCUCUGGUGCAGCACAAAGAUGAUGUUUAAAGCCCUGGAAGGAUGCAUCACCUCAGGGUGGGAGACUAAUGUCACCAGUGUUCUAGACCUGCCACAGCACCUUCCUCCUCACCCUGCGCCACAAUAAUGUAUUCUUAUAAGCCACCAUAAAUGUGUCCAUCACCAGGAAAAUAUAAGACUUUGUUCUUUGUGACAAAAAUGGCUGCAAUACAACUAUAUAUGUAGGCUAACAGCAUCCAUACUCUUGGUGUAUGUGGCGAACGUAGUAAGAAAUUCAACUCUUAAUCAUGCUCCUUGACUACUCUCUCCAAUAUUCUUAAUUCCCUCAUCUUGCAGCACAACAAGGUCCAAGUGUUGGCUGCCACCCUUCACCUUCACUGCCCCUCCCAGGACUUAACAAGCCAUCGCAGUCUUCAUCCGUCAAAACUGAUACCAGAAAAAGAUGCUCUUUGCAAAGAACAAAGCCAAUCAAAAGAAAAAAGUAAAAAAUAACUUUUUAUUUUUGCAUUAGUGUCUUUUCCAUUCUCCAGCAAUACAAGAGUAAUCAUGCCUUUGUAUUUUGCAUAUAUAUUAUAAGGUUUUAUACAAAUAUACCUUUUUGAGAAACCAACAAAAUAAGAUUCCAUACAUAUACACACACAAUAAAAGGAACCGAAGGAGACCAACAGCAAAAGAAAACAAAAAGGUGACGUGUUGGCUACGACACUAACCAUAGCAUCAAUAAUAGUGAUAAUAAUUAUAAUAUAGGUGAUGGUAACAAUAAUAUUCCAUCUCAAACUGCAGAGCGGAAGAGAAAA